ensembl:lncRNA
CCGGUCUCUGCUCUUCAGGAACCCUGAAGAGGACGGUUGGGGAGGGAGAAACAGAACAUUUGUGGUUCACUGCUAGACAUAUCUGGCAAAAUAGGUUUAGGGUCUUGGAACCUGGACCAUUAGGCACGCUGCUUAAUUUUUUAUUUUUUUUAACCUUUAUUUAACCAGGUGAGUCUUUAUUUAACCAGGUGAGUCUUUAUUUAACCAGGUGAGUCUUUAUUUAACCAGGUAAGUCUUUAUUUAACCAGGUGAGUCUUUAUUUAACCAGGUGAGUCUUUAUUUAACCAGGUGAGUCUUUAUU